UGACUUGCUCUCUCUCCCCUCCUGCGCCGCCGCCGCCGGUGGCGCGCGAGAGCAACGCAAAACCCCCCCUCCGACAGCCGCCGCCGCCGCCGCCAUCUCCUCGACCACCCGAGUCGCGACCCCUCACGCCUCCAAGAGCUUGGUAGUAGCUACGCCCUGCUUUCUCUCGCGCCAGCGCCAUGGGGCGGCCGAAGGGAGGCGCGGCGGCCUCUUCCUCCGCCUCCUCGAAGAAGCCCAAGCCCAAGCCGAAGCAGCGCGGCGGCGUCGACUUCAAGAAGUACAAGCACAAGGUCGGGCGCAAGCUGCCGCCGCCGAAGAAUGCCACCAGCACGGAGAUCAAAUCCAAAACGAUCGUGCUGCCGGAGCAGAGCAUGGCCUCGGAGAGGGCGGGCAUGGCGGUGAACAAGCGUGGGCUCACGCUUCGGGAGCUUCUGCAGCAGACGGCCCACUAUAAUGCCAAUGUGCGGCGAGCUGCACUGAAUGGAAUCAAGGACAUUGUUGUCAAGCACCCAACAGAGCUUAAACUGCACAAGGUUGCUAUAAUUGAGAAGCUGCAGGAAAGGAUAUGCGAUACUGACAAGGUGGUCCGUGAAUCAUUAUACAGUAUACUGCAGUCUAUGAUCUUCCCAUCUUUGAAAGAGGAUAAUGCUAUAUCGACCCGGAGUACACUGUUUCUGCUGAUGGCUAAUAUUCUGAAUGGAAUGACCCAUCUAUCUAUUGAUAUCCAGUUAAUGGCUUUCCGUUUUUUGGAGCUUGUGGUUCUCAAUUUCCCAUCGUCCUUUUCUAGUUAUGCUGAACAGGCUUUCAACAACUUUAUUGCGGUACUGAGCAAUGAUAGAAUCAACCUACAUGAUAGGAACAAACUUAACAGUGUCCUUAGUGGGCUUGGACAUUGCCUUUCUUUGGUUGCUAAAACGAUGGAAAAUGAUGAUAUAUCAAAUCGACAGGUUCAUGACCUCUCUGCAAGGGAACUUUGGAAAUGUACCUCUGAUGAAGAUAACUCAGUAGGCAGAGCAUUUGCAAUGCCCAAUUUAUUAGUGAAGCUUCAGAGCCUUGUCCAAAUUCUCAUUAAUUCUGUAGAGGUUUCAGCCUCAGAGCUCUGUGCAAAGUCAGCUAUUGAUGCAUCAUCAAGUGAAGCAUUGUUAUCAGCCCUCCAUUGUCUGGAUAUAAUAUGUAGGAUAUUUAUUCAUGAAGUGAAGAAACCUCAGUUAAGAUUUUCCAUAUCCAAGACUCAGUUUGGGCCUGACUGGUUGAGAAGUUCCUUAUUGAUACAUCUAAAGAAUUUAUGGGGCGUGAAGCGUUUGUUUCAUGAAAAGGAAGACGGCAAAUUUUUCAUUUUCAAUUUGAAGAUUGCUGAAAUCUUUCUGUGCUUGAGUGCAUGGAUAGAUAGCACAAUGUUUCCAGCUGAAGAAUUUUGCCAUUUUGUAUCUUCUCUAUUCGCAAAGCAGGCAAAGACACUUCGCAAUAAGGAUCUCAUGGAAAUGUAUUUGAGCCCCAUUAUAACUUGCAUACCGGAUCUUAUAUUCAAUGCCCCAGAUGACUCAAAAGAACAUUUGUUGGAGGCAUUUACAGAUGCAUUUAGAGGUUGCAAGGUGGAUUGCAAGCUAAUCUUUCCAUAUUUGGAUGCAGUUGGAGAAAUGCUGCUUCCUGAGAAAACAGGCACAUGGUUUGCUGAAGACGGUUCAGGCGUGCUGGGCUAUCAUGACGUGUGGAUACAUGAGUUACCCCGAAUUUUGCUGCAAUCAAUUGAUAAAGCCCCCUCAGUUACAAAGGUUGUUUUGGAGCUUCUUCUAAGAAUUGGACAAUACUUUCCCACAUUGGACUGUGAAAACCUGCGUCCCUUCAUAAAGUUAUUUGGUGUUGAAUCAUCAUCAGGAGCUGUGGAGCUUGGCCCUUUUGUUAACCUAGCUCGUGAUUGCCAAGAACUUGCCACUUCAUGCCUUUAUUACUUUCCCAGUCUGCUCCCUGACAUAAUUGGGCCAUUGGCCUCGUGUUGCUUAAGUGAUGCACUGGAACCCCUCGUACUGUUCAGGGUCGUUGAGGUUCUACAGUCAACAUACAAGGCUGGUAGUUUACAGAUAACAGAACUACUCAGUUUUUUGUUGCUGCUAAUGGCAAGAUUCAGAGUUCAUCCUGGGGGUUUAGUUACUUCAGGGAAUCCUAGUAAGGUCUCGAAUUGGGACACUUUCAAGUCGUUGAAUCGUCUAAUUUUAACUUCCCUAUCUGAAAUGGGUGAUGGCUCUCUGGUCCUCGAAUUGAUGUGGAAUAAUUUAUCUAAUGCGAUUGCUAAAAAACCAUCGAUGCAUAACAUGAACGGCUUGUUUAGAAUUAUUGUUACACUUGAUGCAGGAACUAAUAAGCUCAUGAAUGAAGAUGCCGUAAAGCUUAUAGCUGGCUACUUGGUUGAUGCUUCUUUGGAUCUGUCUAAGACCAUUGAAGGUGGUUUUCAACCUGAUAAGACAAGAUUAUUUCAGUACUUUAUCAAGCCCUGCACCAUCAUGUUUGACAAGAAUGACAAGGUUCUUUGCAGCACAUUGGAGAUGCUUAAGUCUUUUAUAACAGGAGAUGAUCACCUGCUUUCAUCUCUCUCCAACUUUAACUACCCAGGAGAGCUAUCAUGUCGAGUUUGUGCUGUCACAACCAUACUCAUCUUCUUAUGCAAUGACCGGAAACUCCAUAGGAAUCUUUCUUUUGGCAAAUCAGUUAUUAAAGGCAUCCUGGAUUAUAUAAGGCAUCAGCUGGGUUCUAGUGGGCCUAAUGUGACGUAUGAAGAAAAACAGAAGUUAAGAUCUGCUUUCGAGCAACUGAAGACCAAAGCAUUGCAGUUGAACUGCUGGGAUAGAAGUGAGCUGGAAGGGCUGUCAAUCACAAGAUAACGUGAGUGAAGACAUGGUUGGGGGUGGGGGCGUUUGCCAUUUUCCCAAAAUGAAUCACACAUUCACACUUUCAGAGUUCCAGCAUAUAUAUGUGGCCCAGCUGUUACCAAGGGUGAUCUGAAGAUGGGUGGUACGGAUUCCUAGAGCCACUAACCAAGAACUGAGCAAUCCAAUGUUCAUAUCGCAUCGCUUUGCUGUUUAUUAACCAAAUGUAGUCAUGGCAACCAUUUGUUUUCGCAAGUGCCUGAAACGCUAGUCACCAACCCAAGUAAGGCAAGUAGGCGAGUCGGAGAUCGUUGGCUGUGGUCGCUUCAUAGACGGUAGGUGAACCCUGUAUGCCUGUACCACCUUGUAAAUGCAGAAAUUUUGAUAUGACGUUUUACUUCGGGCGUUCAGUCUCAUUGGCUACCCAGUUCGUUUCCUGCAGAA